rnacentral:rRNA from 1 species
UACAGAGGUCCCAAGCGUUGUUCGGAUUCACUGGGCGUAAAGGGUGCGUAGGUGGCAAGGUAAGUUUGAUGUGAAAUCUUCGAGCUCAACUCGGAAACUGCAUUGAAUACUCUCUUGCUUGAGGAUUGGAGGGGAGGCUGGAAUUCUCGGUGUAGCAGUGAAAUGCGUAGAUAUCAAGCGGAACACCAGUGGCGAAGGCGAGUCCCUGGACAACUCCUGACACUGAUGCACGAAAGCUAGGGGAGCAAACAGG